UCACUUUGGCAAUGCACAUACGAAAACUGGAACAAUGCAGAGAUUAGCACGGCCCCUGCCAGGAUGACACACAAACUCGUCAAGGGUUCCAUAGACUU
rnacentral:snRNA from 1 species